UGCUGCAACAUCUCCAUUUAGUUCAAAUAACACUUCAAGCAGCAACACCCUUUCCUGCACAAUUACAACCAUUCACACAUAUUCCUAACAUUCAUCUAGGAACUUCAGCAACAUCUCAAUCUUCUGCCAUGCACCUGCCAACCAUAACACCAUCACCUGCAUAUCCAUUUGUUGCUAGCCACAACUUUAAAGGGAUUAAAAGAUGGAAGCUGUUGAAAAUGAAACCUUAGAAGGGGUACGUGGAACCAUUUUGGUGGUGUACCAUCUAACUAGCAUGAUCAUGUACUAGGGACCUAUAACCAAUUAGAUUUAAAAAGAAAAAUGUAUCAAAAUCAAGAUAAGGAGAAUGAAAUAUCUCCUUGCCUCCGCCACUUUCUUCUUUACUGCUCUCUUAAAGUUCUUGGAAAAAAAAAGAAGGUAUUCUCAGCUUCGCAUCUCCGAUUCUUUAGUAUCUUCAGGAAAUUUAGGUUUCUCUUUCGAUUUUUUUUUUGCCCCUUUUUAGGUGGUUGUUAGUAUGGUUGUAUUUGAUACAACAAGAACAGGGGUCUUGAGACUUGGAACUGGUUCUUGUUUGAUUUCACUAGUAUAGCGUUAUUGUCAAACUAUUGCUUAAUCUUGGAUUUUGAUCCAAGUAAAUAAUUCUUAAUAAUCUUGUGGUACCCCAAUGUCGAUUGGGUUUGUGAUCUGGUGUUUGACAACGCAAUUAUUUUGUCUUUGCAUCCAAAUAGUGAUUUGGUUUGGUUACCUUCCAAUUGGGUGUCGUAAAGUGUUUGAUGAUAGUCCCGACCUAUGUUGUUGACCUUUGACUUGAACCCCAAUGUUUGAUUGGGUAAUCUUAUUUUGUUCCAACAGUCUUUGUCGGUUGCCCUUUUUCUAAAAUCUUAUUUUCAAGAUUAAUCCUGUGAUUUUAAAACCUAUUUAGACUAGGAAGAUUCAUUGUUUUCUGCAUCCCCUGAAAAAUCUUUUUUUUACCAAAAUCUUUAUCAAUUCGGAUAUUUUGCUGCGGGUUCAUCUUCUCAAUCCAAGGAUACUCUAAUCAUAGUUGAUAAGAUUAAAUUAUUACAAGUCCAGGCUGCAGAAACAGGCAAAGAGGAAACCCAAUUACUAAUGCAGGUUUUGGUUUCGUACUUCGUAAUUGGACAAGAAUAUUUCAAGCAACAGAAAUAAGAUGUUGCAGGACUUUCUCAGCUGAAGAAACAGAGCUUGUAUCUCUGCUAAAAGCAACACAAUGGGCUAUCAGAAACAAUAUUCAAAAUCUGGUGAUAAAAGGGGACAAUCUGGCUUCAAUUAGAUUUCUUCAGGGAAAGGAUUCAUCUGUUCAAUGACAAAGUCAGGCGAUACUAGAAGAAGUAAAAUCUUUAACUGAACAUUUAGUUUCGUUUUUAGGUUUUCAUUAUGUAGACAGGAGAGAAAACAAGGUGGCAGACUUGUUAGCAAAGAAAGGAAGAACCUCUAUCAACACAACUUCCUGGAAUUUGCAAGCUCCCAGUUUUUUAAUUCCCGCAAUAGCUUUCGACGUUUUCAAAGCUUUCGAUAUAUGUAAUAACAAUACCUCUGUAGUCCUUUCUGCUGAUGUUAAUCCAAGAUAUUCAGUCAUUGGAAGACCAACUCCUCAAGAGUCUGUCUUUGAAGAGUUUGAAUCCGAAGAUUAACUGAGGCCUGUUAAUAUAUGUCUUAUUUUCAAAAAAAAAAAAAAGAAAGAGAGAGAGAAGUCACUUCUCUCAUCAUUUCUAUUUGUCUGUAUGAAUGGUGGCACCUAAAAAUCAGAGAAAGGACGAGAUUCAGAGAGGAACAGGGUCUAUAUGAUAUUGCUGGUGUUUAAUUAGAAGACGAUGAAUCUGAAGAGAUCGAUGGAUUCUCUGAUUUUGGAAUGUAAUUUGGGAAUUCUGGUGAAAUCGUGGCUAGGGUUUGAAUCAGUUCGAGUCAGGAAUGAUUACAGAGAGAUGAGGAUUUGAAUUGAAGAAGCGCGAGAUGAAGAAAUGGUGGCUUGUUUGAUGGAGAUGGUGAUUCAGAGAAAUUAGGGUUUGUUGAGAAGGAUGAUGAUGAACUCAGACAACAAAACAGUGUGAGAAAUGGGUAUUUGUUGGUGUUGGCAGAGAUGAAGAACAUGGAGUUUUGGGUUCAGGUUGAAUCUGCUUUUGAAUUGAGUUAUGAAAUGGAUACCCCAACUGAUUGGGUAGAUUUAAUCAACUGCACUCUCUCUUUUUGGAAAGCAAAAUAGAGAAAAAUAUCAAUUUUGAAAAUUUGUCCGUUUGGAAUUUUGGAUCCAGAAUCUCCAGAAAUUCUCAUUGUCACCGAAACGACCGUUUCGGGCCCGGUUAAGACCCCAACCCUUUUCAGAUCCCAUCAUUUCAGGGAUCAUAUCAACAUCCCUUUCAAAAAACUAUAAUAGUGCUUAUUUUCCACAAAAAAACUAUAGCUAAUUUGUAUUGUCUCGUAAGAUUCUGGUUCAUAAAUAUAAUUUCAAUUUUUAGGCAAA